UGCUUAACCAACUACGCCACCCAGGUGCCCGUGACCAGAUUUGAAUUUUAAGUAGAAUCACUCUGGCAUGUGGAUAAUUAUCAAUUGGGGUAUAUGGGGUAAAAGACAAAGAGGCCCUGAAAACAUCUUUAAGCUCUGAGGAGGAGAUGCGAGGAUAUAAGGAGAAUGACAAGUUCGACUUGGUUUAUGUUGUAGGUGCUGUGGGAUGAUCUGGUGGAGACUCUGAAGGUCAUUGAACUUGCAAAAGAAUGAGGCCAAGUCUUCAGGAAGCUCCGAAGUGUGAAUCAGGAAUUCUCCACACCAGUGAUGCUGAUCGGCUUCCUAGUCUCUAAAUAUGCCCAGUGUAUCUGCCCUGAGGAACUUACACAUGCCCAAGAAGCCUUCCUGUCUCCUCUCUGUUUACCUAAAUACUUCCUCACUUUCCCACCCGUGGCCAUCCUCACACCAACCCCUUUACAACUGGAUGGUUCUGUUCAUCCAGGCCCUGGCCUGGGCUGCUCUGUGGCGGUGACCUCUUUGGGAACAUGCCUGGUCUCCCCAGGUAGCAUCAAGCAGCCCGCAAAUACUGAGGACCGUGCUGGUCUGGGCCGUGGGUGAGGGCGUGGCGUUAGGGCAGCGAGCCAGAGAAACCCACAGACUUUAUCCUAGUAGAGUCUACACCCCAGCAAAGCCUGAUGUGGGUGAAACAAGACUGUGAAGGCAUCGGGCUGCUGAAGAAACAAAUGGCAUGGGCACUUGGGUGGCUCAGUUGGUUAAGCAUCUGACUCUGGCUCAGGUCAUGAUCUCACAAUUCAUGAGUUUGAGCCCCGCCUUGGGUUCUCCGCUCUCAGCAAGGAGCCCGCUUUAGAUCC
rnacentral:lncRNA from 1 species